rnacentral:lncRNA from 1 species
CCAACUUUAUAUCUCCUUCCUGUUUCACAUGGUUUGCUUACUGCGUUCCUCCUUUUACCAUAAUUUUCAGCAAUUAUUGUACUCUCACCCUUGCCAAAAUAUAAAGCCAGCCACACUAUCAAUGUGAGGCCAAGUCUCUUGAAGCUUGUUUAGAUAUUGUUUAGCCAUGCCACUGACGUGAGUCUGUAUUCAUGUGGUCACUUUGUUUUAUUAGUCAUUCGAAAUCGAUGACCAACUUGUUUCCUUCUUCACUAUUACGGGGUCGUAAUAAGAAAAAAAAAACUGCCAUAUUUGUCGCUCGAAUUAGCCACUAAGCUGUGGAGGAGAUUGGUUCAAAAUGUUGCCUGGUCUAU